GCGUAGUUCUUCUAGGAUUAAAAGCUCGCAGACAAAUUCUGUCAAUAGGCCUUGCUGGUUGGGGUGGUCAGUGAGUUGAGUCAGUGAGUUUUAAAACUAUGAUCAUGGUUAGGUUAACUAUACUAAGCAUAAAUGCACAAUCUCAUGUUUUUUUUUGCUUCAUAGUUGUUUAAGGAUAACAGACAGUGAAGAUGUCAUGGUUCUUUAAAUAUGAAUGUGGACUGAGUUUUCUUUAUUGCCAAUAUAUUCAUGUGUGGGAAUGUGAAACUUCUGAUUCAUAAAUGUAAAUAGGGUUGGGAAUGUGAAAUGAACACAUUUUAGAAUCACUAAAAUGAAUGCAAAUGUGGUUGUGAAUGUUCUGUAAUUCCUACUACAAACUGUAAAUGCAAAUAGGUUGUGAUGGUAAAAAUUUAUCCAUGCGCUAAUUCAUUGACCGACUUUUCCUGAUUGCAGCAGAACCUAGACUUUGAAACUAAUGUAGACUCUUGUGAAGUGAUGCAGAUUAGUGGAGAUGCAUUCUAAGUGGUUCAUAGAUUAACCUUUUUUUUGUGAUUGCUGAGUUUGGUUGCAGGUUUUGUGAAGUGGUUUGUGUCAAUGGUUUUUUUUUUUUCAAAUCAAUCGUUACUUUCCUUUUGUGCACUCAUUUCUAAACUGAUAGCCAUCGAUGCAGACCUAUCACCACAUGUAGGAGUAGUACUUGGGCUUCAUGCACUCAUUUGUAGCCUGAUUCAUCAACUCAUUUGUGUAACUGAUUGACUUUUCCUUAUUGCAAAAGAUCCUAGACUUUUGUAACUAAUGCACAUGCUUGUGAAGUGAUGCAGAUCGAUGGAUGGUUGUGAAGUGAUUCAUUGACUUAUUCUGUGAUUGCAGUGAUGGGUUGUAGGUUUUUGUCAAGUGAUGCACAUUAAUGUUUUUUUUUCCAAAUCAAUGUUUCAUAAUGGGAUGCAUGUACCAUUAGUAAUGGGUGGUGAACAACAAGUGCAGCCACUAUCAUGGUUUCACGAUAAUGAUGGUCAACAUAUGAUGAUGUAGGAUGACCCAAAUUUGCUGCCUCAAAGACAACAUAUGGCUUGGACUCAUGCAUCAUGAGAGAAGUUUGCUAUAUGGUCCCCAGGUGUGGGAAGUGUAAGAAUUAUUUAAAUUGCUCCAAUUUUAUCUUUGUUAACUAUAGUUUGUGUUGCAGGUUGUGGAAUGUGAGUUGCUGAUGGUCCCUGCAAGCGAAUUACCAUAUGAGGGACAUGACCCAGUUGAGGUAUGCUUCAGUUGACUGCUGAGGUUCAGGCUUCUCUUAUUUUUAUGGUCCUUCAAGAGCAUUUUUAUUUAUCAUUUGGGUAUUUAAAUGGGCCCUAGGAAUGUUGCCAAACAUUCUAUCUAUUGUGAAGCUCUUCUGUUAUUUCUGUUUUGGAAAUUCAAAUAGUUUCAUGUUUGAAUUUAUUUUCAUUCUGUUGCUCAA